rnacentral:rRNA from 1 species
AUGGAGGAGGAACUGUGUGCCAAGCGUCAUCAUGCCGAUACGUCGGACAAGAGCAGCAACUUCAUCGACAUUAACGUCCCCGGCGAGAAGCGCGAGUACACAACAACCCUCAAAGGGGUUGAGCUCCAUGGCAACGAGACGUUGGAGAUCGUCUGCACUAGCGUACCAGAAAAGGCUAACGAGUUGAUCUCCAGGCUUUGGAGAAAGCUUGGCGGCAGGACUCGUAGGAUCGUCGGUGUUGGUGUGCACUACACCAAUGAAGAUGAACCUCCCUAG